AUUGAACGCUGGCGGCAGGCCUAACACAUGCAAGUCGAACGCGUGGCGGACGGGUGAGUAAUGUCUGGGAAACUGCCCGAUGGAGGGGGAUAACUACGGGAAACGGUAGCUAAUACCACAUACCAUCGGAUGUGCCCAUAUGGGAUUAGCUAGUAGGUGAGGUAACGGCUCACCUAGGCGACGAUCCCGAGCUGGUCUGAGAGGAUGACCAGCCACACUGGGACUGAGACACGGCCCAGACUCCUACGGGAGGCAGCAGUGGGGAAUAUUGCACAAUGGGCGCAAGCCUGAUGCAGCCAUGCCGCGUGUAUGAAGAAGGCCUUCGGGUUGUAAAGUACUUUCAGCGAGGAGGCGUUACUCGCAGAAGAAGCACCGGCUAACUCCGUGCCAGCAGCCGCGGUAAUAC
rnacentral:rRNA from 1 species